UAGGGAAUAUUGCACAAUGGGGGAAACCCUGAUGCAGCGACGCCGCGUGCGGGAGGAAGCCCUUCGGGGUGUAAACCGCUGUCAGGGGGGAAGAAACCCAAGGGUUCGAACAGGGCCUUUGGCUGACGGUACCCCCAGAGGAAGCGCCGGCUAACUCCGUGCCAGCAGCCGCGGUAAGACGGAGGGCGCGAGCGUUGUUCGGAAUUACUGGGCGUAAAGCGCGCGCAGGCGGACGGUGCAAGUCAGGGGUGAAAUUCUGGGGCUCAACCCCGGAGCUGCUCUUGAUACUGCCUGUCUAGGGACCGGUAGGGGCCGGUGGAAUUCCCGGUGUAGCGGUGGAAUGCGUAGAGAUCGGGAAGAACACCCGUGGCGAAGGCGGCCGGCUGGGCCGGAUCCGACGCUGAGGCGCGAAAGCGUGGGGAGCAAACAGGAUUAGAUACC
rnacentral:rRNA from 1 species